UUGUAGGUGAGGCCACAAGAAGGGAGGGAAAAAAUGAAGCAAAGGAGUGGGUGUGGGUACAGGGAUGUAUUAAGAAAAGAAAAGCAGUGUUUUAAAAAACACACUUUGGGCUGCCUUUGUAAAAAAUAAAUAAAACAAAUUUCCACUUUAAAAAAGUCUACUAAAUAGGUGGACUUUGCCAAGUAUACACAUCUGGACUACGAUGAUAAAAAGCUUUUUCCGCGUGGAACAAAUCACUUAUCAGACUGAUACAAAGUAAGGAAACAUUUUGGUGCAAGUGAACUUUAGUUAUACAAUAGCUACAAUAAGAGACUAUUCUCCUUUUUAUGUUGCUGUACUUGGAUGUAUGCAAUUCAGACCUAAGGUUGACUGAUGGCCCCAGUGUUAAAUGCUUGUCUCCAGUUACAGAACAUCUUUGCUACAUGGAAAAUAAUAUAUACCCUUCAUUUCUGAUCAUUGUGAUUCUAUAAACACUUCAUACAACAGACAUCAAAGCACCAUCAUUUUUGAAACUAUCUGGAAGCCUCUGUAUAUAUGGAAUGGGAGAGAUGGAAUCCACAGGUGCUUCAGCAGUACCCCCAUUGAAAUCGACUUGAUGGCACACUUUACCUUUACUUUACCCCAUUUCUGCACAGUAUUUAAGGGAGAGAUUCAUAUAUACACUAGAAGGCUGACGUCAUCUACACCAGGGGUGGACAGAAGCAGCAACAAAAGUUGUCAAAGUGGCCUAUGUGGCAGAAGGAAUGAGGAAUGGUUCCCUGCUGCAAAAGGCUCAUACUCUAAAAGUAACACAAGGGAGAGAGACUAGCAACCAGCCACUGGGAGGGAAACUAACUGGAAUUAUAAUGCGGACACAGUUGCUUUUUCCUUGCUAAAUGAGACAGUUUUAAAAGCCUCUUUUUGCUCAGUUAACAGAGAUUAGAAGAUGUCUUAGAAGAUAUCCUACGUCAUCCUGGACAUCCAAAGCUAUUUUAUAUUUGUUACAUUGCUAUUGAUAUUUGUACUUUUUAUGUUCUCUUUUCUGGUCAAUGACUGUAAUAAAAUUGAACACAUUCUUUGUUCACAAAGCCUCCAUA